UACGUAGGGACCAAGCGUUGUUCGGAUUUACUGGGCGUAAAGGGCGCGUAGGCGGCAAUUCAAGUCAUCUGUGAAAUCUCCGGGCUUAACUCGGAACGGUCAGAUGAUACUGCUUUGCUAGAGUGCAGAAGGGGCAAUCGGAAUUCUCGGUGUAGCGGUGAAAUGCGUAGAUAUCGAGAGGAACACCUGAGGUGAAGAUGGGUUGCUGGGCUGACACUGACGCUGAAGCGCGAAAGCCAGGGGAGCAAACGGG
rnacentral:rRNA from 1 species